rnacentral:rRNA from 1 species
GAUGAACGCUGGCGGCGUGCCUAAUACAUGCAAGUCGAGCGAACGGACGAGAAGCUUGCUUUUCUGAUGUUAGCGGCGGACGGGUGAGUAACACGUGGAUAACCUACCUAUAAGACUGGGAUAACUUCGGGAAACCGGAGCUAAUACCGGAUAAUAUUUUGAACCGCAUGGUUCAAAAGUGAAAGACGGUCUUGCUGUCACUUAUAGAUGGAUCCGCGCUGCAUUAGCUAGUUGGUAAGGUAGCGGCUUACCAAGGCAACGAUGCAUAGCCGACCUGAGAGGGUGAUCGGCCACACUGGAACUGAGACACGGUCCAGACUCCUACGGGAGGCAGCAGUAGGGAAUCUUCCGCAAUGGGCGAAAGCCUGACGGAGCAACGCCGCGUGAGUGAUGAAGGUCUUCGGAUCGUAAAACUCUGUUAUUAGGGAAGAACAUAUGUGUAAGUAACUGUGCACAUCUUGACGGUACCUAAUCAGAAAGCCACGGCUAACUACGUG